rnacentral:lncRNA from 1 species
GAUAGAUGGAAGAUGAGGCGCAAUGAAGGUCUGCAAUGAAUUGAAUAUGUGAGUGCCUAUGCUGUGAAGAUGUAGGGAUGCUCCCUGUCCUCAAGAUGCUCACAUCCAGAAGAAUGCAUUUUAAAAGGUCUAGGCAUGCAUUUUUAUUUUACAUUAUUGCAGACAUACUGAAGUAUGGUGCUAGAAAUAAAGCUACAAAAAUAACACAGAUCAAGACCCAAGCUCUCUUUACAAGAAACUUACACCAAAGUAGGGGAGACAGAUACGUAAAUAACCAUCUUGAUGCAGUGUAAGAGGGGCAAUGACAGCAGUAACCCCAGAAUGUUAAGGGAAACAUGCAAGGGUGACUACCUGGCCUGGAAAGGUGAGAAAACAAAGGUUUGGCAAGGAUGAGUACUUGCUGCAGGUCCAACAGUUAUGACUGGAUUGGAACUUCAUCCCAGCUUGGCCUAACUUCAGAGGAGUUUCAUUCAACUUAUAUAGAUUCGAUAUGAAAUGGGAAUGCAAGAAGGCAUAGAUAUUUCUGGUUGAUUCAAUUUCCUGAUAAUUCCCAAUUACAAUAAAAGAAAUGGUUUCAUAAGGACUCACAUGUUUGAAAAAGUCUUUGGAUAUAAAAUAUAAACCUGAGAUUAAAUUUGAUAAUAGAAAAUUUUUGAUGAAGCAUAAAUUAAAAAAUAUUUUUCUGGCAUUUUUUUCCUAAAAAAAAGAAGAUCCUGUUCCAAAACCAAGCCUUCGUAAAGAGGUCCUAUUCCUAUGUAUUUUAUGAUUGGAGAUGUGGAAGUCACUGUGAUGUGGUCAAAGUAGAAACAUUUGUGGGUUUUUUCUUCUUGAGGAAAUAAACCAAAAUGCUAAAAUAAAUGAGUAGCAAAUUAAG